UAUCUCUCCGUACGGGGAAGGAUGAGAAGCUUCGACUAAGGUUCGAUUCGAGCGCAGCGAGAAAGCGUUGCCGCAGGCAACGACCCGAAGGGUGAGGAGCGGAGCGACGAA
rnacentral:sRNA from 1 species